rnacentral:lncRNA from 1 species
ACGCAUCCAGCCUCUAGGAGUCAUCCACACGAGCCCACAAAUUACGAUCAGAAGUCCUGGUCUAGAAAAUCAGCACAGUAUGCUAGUACUGCGCUGAUCCUUCUUCGAUGGUCGAUCAGAUGCCUCCUUCUUCUUGACUUGGACUCUUCCAAAGAUGAAAAGUAGGAGAAAAAGUUUUAGAUAAGACACUCUCAGAAAACUUACAG